rnacentral:rRNA from 1 species
GACGUAGGAUGCAAGCGUUAUCCGGAAUUAUUGGGCGUAAAGAGUUCGUAGGCGGUUUGUUAAGUUGGAUAUCAAAUCUUUGAGCUUAACUCAAUCUCGGUAUCCAAAACUGGCAGACUAGAGACAGGGAGAGGUAAAUAGAAUUCUGCAUGUAGGGGUAAUAUCCGUAGAUAUGCAGAGGAAUACCAAAAGCGAAGGCAGUUUACUGGCCCUGUUCUGACGCUAAAGAACGAAAGCGUGGGUAGCAAACGGG